GACGAACGCUGGCGGCGUGCUUAACACAUGCAAGUCGAACGAUGAAGCCGGAGCUUGCUCUGGUGAAUUAGUGGCGAACGGGUGAGUAACACGUGAGUAACCUGCCCUUGACUCUGGGAUAACUGCGGGAAACUGUAGCUAAUACCGGAUACGACCCUCGGAGGCAUCUCCUGGGGGUGGAAAGAAUUUCGGUCAAGGAUGGACUCGCGGCCUAUCUGCUAGUUGGUGAGGUAAAGGCUCACCAAGGCGACGACGGGUAGCCGGCCUGAGAGGGUGACCGGCCACACUGGGACUGAGACACGGCCCAGACUCCUACGGGAGGCAGCAGUGGGGAAUAUCGCACAAUGGGCGCAAGCCUGAUGCAGCAACGCCGCGUGAGGGAUGACGGCCUUCGGGUUGUAAACCUCUUUUAGCAGGGAAGAAGCGGAAGUGACGGUACCUGCAGAAAAAGCACCGGCUAACUACGUGCCAGCCGCCGCGGUAA
rnacentral:rRNA from 1 species